rnacentral:rRNA from 1 species
GAUGAACGCUGGCGGCGUGCUUAACACAUGCAAGUCGAACGGAAAGGCUCCUGCUUGCAGGGGUACUCGAGUGGCGAACGGGUGAGUAACACGUGGGUGAUCUGCCCUGCACUUCGGGAUAAGCCUGGGAAACUGGGUCUAAUACCGGAUAGGACGAUGGUUUGGAUGCCAUUGUGGAAAGUUUUUCGGUGUGGGAUGAGCUCGCGGCCUAUCAGCUUGUUGGUGGGGUAAUGGCCUACCAAGGCGUCGACGGGUAGCCGGCCUGAGAGGGUGUACGGCCACAUUGGGACUGAGAUACGGCCCAGACUCCUACGGGAGGCAGCAGUGGGGAAUAUUGCACAAUGGGAGCAAGCCUGAUGCAGCGACGCCGCGUGGGGGAUGACGGCCUUCGGGUUGUAAACUGCUGUAGCUAGGGACGAAGCGCAAGUGACGGUACCUGGAGAAGAAGCACCGGCUAACUACGUG